rnacentral:misc_RNA from 1 species
GCAAUAUGCACCUGAAAUCGUUAAAGUCAUUGAAACGCAUUUACAACAGGUUUAUUUAAAUUUUAUUUUUAAUCGAGUAUCAAUUUAAUGAAUUUUAUUUUGUUUUAAUCCUCACAGCUUUAUUCAGGGGUUUUCCGUUUACCUUGUACCUGGAAUAAGAUGGUGCCAUAUGGUGUUGCACUAGGGAUUUCCUACAAAUUUUACUCUUUAUUCCGGGAUCUGACAAAAUGGGAAUUUCGCGAGUAUAAUUUUUUUUAUUAACAAAUGUCCAGUAAAUGAAUGCUUGAAAUGUCAAUUGUUCUCAAGUUAUGUUUACUUUGUUAAAAGUUAGGUAAGGUAGCAGUCAAGUUAAUUAGCCUUUCCUUUCAAAAAGGAAGAGAAUAUACUUGCAUUACAGUUGAAGUAAAUACAAAUAUUUAAAUUAAUGUCUGAAGGAAAACCCCUGUAUACCCUAAAUGGUAAAACCUGAACAAUUCUUUAUGCUAAUGAUUUAAAGUGUUUAUUUAUUUUUUGACUGUAAAUUAUUGAAUGUACAGAAUUAAAUGUGACGAAGAG